UAAAAAAAGGUAAGCUACUAAGAGCGAAUGGUGGAUGCCUUGACUGGUAAAGGCGAUGAAGGACGUACUAGACUGCGAUAAGCUACGGGGAGCUGUCAAGAAGCUUUGAUCCGUAGAUUUCCGAAUGGGGCAACCCAAUGUAUAGAGAUAUACAUUACCUAUAUAGGAGCGAACGAGGGGAAUUGAAACAUCUUAGUACCCUCAGGAAAAGAAAUCAAUAGAGAUUGCGUCAGUAGCGGCGAGCGAAAGCGCAAGAGGGCAAACCCAGUGCUUGCACUGGGGGUUGUAGGACUGCAAUGUGCAAGAGCUGAGUUUAGCAGAACAUUCUGGAAAGUAUAGCCAUAGAGGGUGAUAGUCCCGUAUGCGAAAAACAAAGCUUAGCUAGCAGUAUCCUGAGUAGGGCGGGACACGAGGAAUCCUGUCUGAAUCCGGGUCGACCACGAUCCAACCCUAAAUACUAAUACCAGAUCGAUAGUGCACAAGUACCGUGAGGGAAAGGUGAAAAGAACUGAGGUGAUCAGAGUGAAAUAGAACCUGAAACCAUUUGCUUACAAUCAUUCAGAGCACUAUGUAGCAAUACAGUGUGAUGGACUGCCUUUUGCAUAAUGAGCCUGCGAGUUGUGGUGUCUGGCAAGGUUAAGCAAACGCGAAGCCGUAGCGAAAGCGAGUCUGAAUAGGGCGCUUAGUCAGAUGCUGCAGACCCGAAACGAAGUGAUCUAUCCAUGAGCAAGUUGAAGCUAGUGUAAGAACUAGUGGAGGACUGAACCCAUAGGCGUUGAAAAGCCCCGGGAUGACUUGUGGAUAGGGGUGAAAGGCCAAUCAAACUUCGUGAUAGCUGGUUCUCUCCGAAAUAUAUUUAGGUAUAGCGUUGUGUCGUAAUAUAAGGGGGUAGAGCACUGAAUGGGCUAGGGCAUACACCAAUGUACCAAACCCUAUCAAACUCCGAAUACCUUAUAUGUAAUCACAGCAGUCAGGCGGCGAGUGAUAAAAUCCGUCGUCAAGAGGGAAACAACCCAGACUACCAGCUAAGGUCCCUAAAUCUUACUUAAGUGGAAAACGAUGUGAAGUUACUUAAACAACCAGGAGGUUGGCUUAGAAGCAGCCAUCCUUUAAAGAAAGCGUAAUAGCUCACUGGUCUAGUGAUUUUGCGCGGAAAAUAUAACGGGGCUAAAGUAAGUACCGAAGCUGUAGACUUGCACACAACUUAGAUUAUUUAAGUUUAGAAUAUGAGAAACUAAGUUAUAUGUUUAGUUAUAUUUUUACUGAUUUUUAUAGAGUAAAGAUAGAAAUAAAACUUAGUAAAAUCAGUAAAAAUAUUCUUAGGCUAAAGUUAAGUAGUUUAAGUUGUGUGCAAGUGGUAGGAGAGCGUUCUAUUUGCGUCGAAGGUAUACCGGUAAGGAGUGCUGGAGCGAAUAGAAGUGAGCAUGCAGGCAUGAGUAGCGAUAAUUAAUGUGAGAAUCAUUAACGCCGUAAACCCAAGGUUUCCUACGCGAUGCUCGUCAUCGUAGGGUUAGUCGGGUCCUAAGUCGAGUCCGAAAGGGGUAGACGAUGGCAAAUUGGUUAAUAUUCCAAUACCAACAUUAGUGUGCGAUGGAAGGACGCUUAGGGCUAAGGGGGCUAGCGGAUGGAAGUGCUAGUCUAAGGUUGUAGGAGGUUAUACAGGCAAAUCCGUAUAACAAUACUCCGAGAACUGAAAGGCUUUUUGAAGUCUUCGGAUGGAUAGAAGAACCCCUGAUGCCGUCGAGCCAAGAAAAGUUUCUAAGUUUAGCUAAUGUUGCCCGUACCGUAAACCGACACAGGUGGGUGGGAUGAGUAUUCUAAGGCGCGUGGAAGAACUCUCUUUAAGGAACUCUGCAAAAUAGCACCGUAUCUUCGGUAUAAGGUGUGGUUAGCUUCGUACUAGGAUUUACUCCGAAAGCGAAGAAACUUACAACAAAGAGUCCCUCCCGACUGUUUACCAAAAACACAGCACUCUGCUAACUCGUAAGAGGAUGUAUAGGGUGUGACGCCUGCCCGGUGCUCGAAGGUUAAUUGAUGGGGUUAGCAUUAGCGAAGCUCUUGAUCGAAGCCCGAGUAAACGGCGGCCGUAACUAUAACGGUCCUAAGGUAGCGAAAUUCCUUGUCGGUUAAAUACCGACCUGCAUGAAUGGCGUAACGAGAUGGGAGCUGUCUCAAAGAGGGAUCCAGUGAAAUUGUAGUGGAGGUGAAAAUUCCUCCUACCCGCGGCAAGACGGAAAGACCCCGUGGACCUUUACUACAGCUUGACACUGCUACUUGGAUAAGAAUGUGCAGGAUAGGUGGGAGGCUUUGAGUAUAUGACGCCAGUUGUAUAUGAGCCAUUGUUGAGAUACCACUCUUUCUUAUUUGGGUAGCUAACCAGCUUGAGUUAUCCUCAAGUGGGACAAUGUCUGGUGGGUAGUUUGACUGGGGCGGUCGCCUCCCAAAUAAUAACGGAGGCUUACAAAGGUUGGCUCAGAACGGUUGGAAAUCGUUCGUAGAGUAUAAAGGUAUAAGCCAGCUUAACUGCAAGACAUACAAGUCAAGCAGAGACGAAAGUCGGUCUUAGUGAUCCGGUGGUUCUGUGUGGAAGGGCCAUCGCUCAAAGGAUAAAAGGUACCCCGGGGAUAACAGGCUGAUCUCCCCCAAGAGCUCACAUCGACGGGGAGGUUUGGCACCUCGAUGUCGGCUCAUCGCAUCCUGGGGCUGGAGCAGGUCCCAAGGGUAUGGCUGUUCGCCAUUUAAAGCGGUACGCGAGCUGGGUUCAGAACGUCGUGAGACAGUUCGGUCCCUAUCUGCCGUGGGCGUAAGAAGAUUGAAGAGAUUUGACCCUAGUACGAGAGGACCGGGUUGAACAAACCACUGGUGUAGCUGUUGUUCUGCCAAGAGCAUCGCAGCGUAGCUAAGUUUGGAAAGGAUAAACACUGAAAGCAUCUAAGCGUGAAGCCAACUCUAAGAUGAAUCUUCUCUAAGCUCUCUAGAAGACUACUAGUUUGAUAGGCUGGGUGUGUAAUGGAUGAAAGUCCUUUAGCUGACCAGUACUAAUAGAGCGUUUGGCUUAUCUUUAAUAAAGCAU
rnacentral:rRNA from 1 species